AUUAACACCUCAUGGUAUCAUUAAUUGGCAUCGAUUGAUGAUUAAAGGUUACGGGAAGAGGUGGCUAUGCGUCCUAUUAGCUAGUAGGUAUGGUAACGGCAUACCUAGGCGACGAUAGGUAGGGGCCCUGAGAGGGGGAUCCCCCACACUGGUACUGAGACACGGACCAGACUCCUACGGGAGGCAGCAGUGAGGAAUAUUGGUCAAUGGACGGAAGUCUGAACCAGCCAUGCCGCGUGCAGGAAGACUGCCCUAUGGGUUGUAAACUGCUUUUAUAUAGGAAGAAACCCAGAUACGUGUAUUUGGCUGACGGUACUAUAAGAAUAAGCAUCGGCUAACUCCGUGCCAGCAGCCGCGGUAAUACGGAGGAUGCAAGCGUUAUCCGGAAUCAUUGGGUUUAAAGGGUCCGUAGGUGGAUUAAUAAGUCAGAGGUGAAAUCCUGCAGCUCAACUGUAGAACUGCCUUUGAUACUGUUAAUCUUGAGUCAUUAUGAAGUGGUUAGAAUGAGUAGUGUAGCGGUGAAAUGCAUAGAUAUUACUCAGAAUACCGAUUGCGAAGGCAGAUCACUAAUAAUGUACUGACACUGAGGGACGAAAGCGUGGGGAGCGAACAGGAUUAGAUACCCUGGUAGUCCACGCUGUAAACGAUGGUCACUAGCUGUUGGGUUUUCGGACUCAGUGGCUAAGCGAAAGUGAUAAGUGACCCACCUGGGGAGUACGUUCGCAAGAAUGAAACUCAAAGGAAUUGACGGGGGG
rnacentral:rRNA from 1 species